rnacentral:lncRNA from 1 species
GACUAUACAGGUCAUGCUUGCGGGAGGGUAGAGAAUAUGCCCAAUUGCGUUGAGAAAAAUUGCGAUGACUUGUGCUUGGAAAAAUAUGCCAGAAGUGUUGGAACAACAGCUCAAGGGUAUUGCAAGGGGGAUUUAUGUAUGUGUGUUUUCCCUUGUAAGAAGAAAUUUGGUGCUCAUCUAGUUACGAGGGAUUAAGCUGGUAGCUCAAGUUGUUAAGAACAUUUAUUCUUACGCCUAAAAGUUAUGUAUUCGAUUUCCCUUCCUCUAAUAUCUUAUAUUAAAGAAAAGUGAAAAAUAAUAUUUUGGAGCAUUACUUAGCAGAAUUUAUCCCUCUUCAUUGGCUCUAUUAUAC